AAUUGAGCCAAUAUUAUAUAUAUUUUCUGUCGCCCAGGACCUUCUACCCACAGCUGCUCCUGGCCAGACGAGGAAGCACUUCCCCUGGGGGCGGUUUUGUGAGGAGGAGCCAUCUGAACUGGCUCUUGACUGAAUUACAGGCUUUGGCCAGACCGUGGAAGAAGGCAAGGCUAUUCCGGGACCGGGAGUGUUAGCAUCCCGAAACCACAGACUCACAGUUCCUUCAAGGUAGAGAGAAGAUCUUAUCAUCUUUAUUUCCUCAAUGUGAACACAAUUCCUGAACCAAAUUAUAUGCUCAAUAAAUAUUUAUUGAUCCAACUUAAUGAAACCCUCAAGCUAGACUACAGAUGGAGAUUGUGCACGAAUUGGAAAACCUGUUUACCAGUAAUGCAGUUCAUAAAAUUAUUCCUGAGCACCUCCCAUAUGUGGAGAGGGGGCUUCCCGCUGAAAACCUGCCGCCUUGUGCUCCGCCUGCUCUGGCUCGGUUGACUGCGAGGACUCUUCGCGUCUCCAUGAGGGAGUUUGGACAGGACUUGUCAUCAUGGUUGGAAGAACUUUCUCUGAAUUCUCUUCGUGAGGAAGUUGAUGUCUUGGACACAGUAUUAUUUUCCUUUGAGGGACUGUUUCCUGUUAAAAGGAAUUUAGUUUUUCAUAAAGAACCUCCAAAUUUGCUAAAAACUGGUUUAAUAAUCUGUUUUAUUUCCUGUGUCAAGUAUCAAUGCGUGAAAAAUUUUUGAAUAUCAUGGUUAAUCCGUGGACUGCUGAACACAACAGACUGAGCAUCAUGUCAGAGGUGCACCUUGUGAUUUGUGAAAAAUG
rnacentral:lncRNA from 1 species